AGGUGGUGAACCUUGCACUGCCUGCCAGGGGAACAUGGAAGAAGCCAUCCAGGGAGCUCACGUCCCAGAGCCAUGCAGGCAGAGGAGACUGGACCAUAUUGUCAGAUGGUACCCGGAAGAAUGGAAAGCAGCGUCUCAAAGAGACAUCUCUACACCACGCUCAGAGCACCGUGAUUCACAGUGGCUGAAAGGCAGAAACGAGUCAAGUGUCCAACGAUGGAUGCACGGGGAGAACAAAACGUGACCGAGCCAUACGAUAGAGUAUCACGCAGCCCUAAAAAAGAAGGAAGUUCCAACACACGCUGCGACGUGGAUGAACGUUGAGGACAUUAUGCGAAGUGAAAUGAACCCGUCACAAAAGGACACACACUGCAUGACUUCACUCGCAUGAGGUCCCUAGAGUCAUCAAACUCAGAGACGGAAAGCAGAAUGGUGGCUGCAGGCGCCGCGGUGGCGGGGGGCGGCGGGGGAGAAGCCUGGGGAGAUCGUGUUUAAUGUGGACAGGGUUUCAGUUUGGGGAGAUGGAAAAGUUCCGGAGGUGGAUGGUGGGGACGGUUACUUAUGCCUCUCCACCUCACACCAAUGGUUAAAAUGGCAAAUAUUAUGUUAUG